rnacentral:rRNA from 1 species
UACGUAGGGUGCAAGCGUUGUCCGGAAUUAUUGGGCGUAAAGCGCGCGCAGGCGGUCCGUUAAGUCUGAUGUGAAAGCCCACGGCUCAACUGUGGAGGGUCAUUGGAAACUGGGGGACUUGAGUACAGAAGAGGAGAGUGGAAUUCCACGUGUAGCGGUGAAAUGCGUAGUGAUGUGGAGGAACACCAGUGGCGAAGGCGACUCUUUGGUCUGUAACUGACGCUGAGGCGCGAAAGCGUGGGGAGCAAACAGG